CGUAGGGGCGUAGCGUUGUCCGGAAUCAUUGGGCGUAAAGAGCGUGUAGGCGGCCCGGUAAGUCCGCUGUGAAAGUCGGGGGCUCAACCCUCGAAUGCCGGUGGGAUACUGUCGGGCUAGAGUGCGGAAGAGGCGAGUGGAAUUCCUGGUGUAGCGGUGAAAUGCGCAGAUAUCAGGAGGAACACCAAUUGCGAAAGGGCAGCCCGCUUGGGAACGUAACUGACGCUGAGAACGCGAAAGCGUGGGGAGACAAACAGGAUU
rnacentral:rRNA from 1 species